rnacentral:rRNA from 1 species
UACGGGGGGGGCAAGCGUUGUUCGGAAUUACUGGGCGUAAAGGGCUCGUAGGCGGCCAACUAAGUCAGACGUGAAAUCCCUCGGCUUAACCGGGGAACUGCGUCUGAUACUGGAUGGCUUGGAUUCGGGAGAGGAAUGCGGAAUUCCAGGUGUAGCGGUGAAAUGCGCAGAUAUCAGGAGGAACACCAAUAGCGAAGGCAGCUCGCUGGGACGGUACUGACGCUAAGGCGCGAAAGCGUGGGGAGCGAACAG